rnacentral:lncRNA from 8 species
UGGGAAAAAAAAGAGGGAAAGCGGCAAUAUUACCCCGGGACAGUAGAGGGCAAUGAGCGGGUAAUAUCCAUCUACGACCAAACAAGGAAGUGACGACACACCCAAACAAGGAAGUGUAGGAGAAUAAAAUAUUGUACACAGAGAAACACUUGACUGGUGCCAAAAUUUCAUUUGUGUGAAUUACCCAGGAUCUACUAGAUUUGAUGUACCUAGCAACACAUAUAAUAGGCGAGAUACUGAGACAGAAGAUGCCCGCUACAGGUGCACAAUGGUGGAUGUAGGGGCAUACAGCAGAGAGGGCUAUGGUGGAGUGUUUCAAGAGACCCUGGAUUUACCACUGCCAGCUGUCCUGCCUGGUACCACAACGUCAAGGUCACAUGUUUUGAUGGGAGAUGCAGCUUUCCCCCUACAUAGAAGCUCAUGUGCCCUUAUCCAGGCGCCCAUCUCAAUAAACCUGGGCGUACCUGGGCGUACCUGGAACUACCACCACUCUCAUUGUAAGAGAGUCAGAGAAUGCAUUCGGCAUCAUGGCUGCAAGGAUGAGGAUUCUUGAUUGACGCAAAGACUCAGUUCUUUGUGUGCACUGUGAACCAGUAGAGUUUGAAACUUUUAGACCUUAUUCUGAGACAUCUCAGUAUGAAGUAAUUUAUAUUACAUUGAACUAUACCACGAGUAGAAGAAAGCCUGUAAAGUCUGUGAAACACAGCUGUUCUGUAUGUUGUCAGCACUUGAUGUUCAAAUAUAAUGCAUUGAAAUACUUUGUAUUGAGAAAUGUCAACAGAGCUUUUUCAGCACACAAAUAAACAUGUAUUCUUGCUUCUGAAAGUAAACCACAAUACAAAAGUGUCUGCUGAGAACAGACAUGUAAACAAGUGUCUAUGGAAUAAAAUGCAAGUAUCAAAUAUUUCUGAACAAUAGUACAACUGUGUCUGCUAUGAACAGACAUGUCAACAACAGAAGGAUCAAAUAUAAAGAGUGUAGAUUCAAAUAUGUAUGAGAAAUAUACAUUUUUAGGAACUAUAUUAAAAUAGUGUCUUAUAAACAGACAUGUACAUAACAACUGUUUAUGCAAUAAAAUUAAAGUGUCUAGUGUCUGACUCCUGAGAUGUCUGAACAACAGAACAAACUAAUAAUUUCACUGUGGUCCAUGUCCUCUUCUUGAAGUCAUGCAUGAACUCAUGCAGCUGGUCAUCGAAUUCCUCCUGGAGUUUUGGCAAGAGUUCAUCCAUGAAAUCAGCAAUAGGUGCCAGGACCCUGUGGAGAAGAGGGGGGAAACUAUGAGUGUCUGGAGAGCAGUGUGCAUGGUGAGGAGAGGAGGAAAAAGGACACCAAAAGAGAGGAAUGGUGGAUCAGAGUAAAUUAAAUAAUGUAUAUAGUUGUAUUUAUUUACCUCUGGGACAAGCUGCUGGCUCAGUACAUGACAUUCUCCAUAUCUUAAGAUAUGUCUUCAAUCAUUUGCAAUGCCUUUGCGAGUGAUGUGUCAAGGACUGAGUCUGCAGCUUUUUUCUAUCUUCUCACCCUCCUGCUACUGCUGCUGCUGCUCUGUGGCAUAGGUGAGGAGCAAGAGAGUGGAGUAGGUCUUGGAGUUGGGCACAGGAUAGAGCUUCCCAGGUCCUGCAUGGAGAUUUUUUCUAAUUCUGCACUGAAACUCAGUGUGGGAGAUGGGCUGGGG